rnacentral:sRNA from 1 species
UGAUGAGGAGGCGCACCUCGCUGGGAG